rnacentral:rRNA from 1 species
GAUGAACGCUGGCGGCGUGCUUAACACAUGCAAGUCGAACGAAGAUGCCGGAGUGCUUGCACUUUGGCAGACUGAGUGGCGGACGGGUGAGUAACGCGUGGGUAACCUGCCUUAUACAGGGGGAUAACAGUUGGAAACGACUGCUAAUACCGCAUAAGCGCACGGUAUCGCAUGAUACAGUGUGAAAAACUCCGGUGGUAUAAGAUGGACCCGCGUCUGAUUAGCUUGUUGGUGAGGUAACGGCCCACCAAGGCGACGAUCAGUAGCCGGCCUGAGAGGGUGAACGGCCACAUUGGGACUGAGACACGGCCCAAACUCCUACGGGAGGCAGCAGUGGGGAAUAUUGCACAAUGGGGGAAACCCUGAUGCAGCGACGCCGCGUGAAGGAAGAAGUAUUUCGGUAUGUAAACUUCUAUCAGCAGGGAAGAAAAUGACGGUACCUGACUAAGAAGCCCCGGCUAACUACGUG